GAUGAAGAACGUAGCGAAAUGCGAUAAGUAGUGUGAAUUGCAGAAUUCAGUGAAUCAUCGAAUCUUUGAACGCGCAUUGCGACCCUUGGUAUUCCAUGGGGCAUGCCUGUUCGAGCGUCAUUUGUACCCUCAAGCUCUGCUUGGUGUUGGGUGUUUGUCUCGCCUCUGCGUGUAGACUCGCCUCAAAACAAUUGGCAGCCGGCGUAUUGAUUUCGGAGCGCAGUACAUCUCGCGCUUUGCACUCAUAACGACGACGUCCAAAAGUACAUUUUUACACUCUUGACCUCGGAUCAGGUAGGGAUACCCGCUGAACUUAAGCAUAUCAAUAAGCGGAGGA
rnacentral:misc_RNA from 1 species